rnacentral:rRNA from 1 species
CUCGGAUCAGGUAGGGAUACCCGCUGAACUUAAGCAUAUCAAUAGGCCCGGAGGAAA